ACGGGACACCUGCAUCUGCCAACAAGACUGGAAGCAGGUGAGGCACACAGAGGGGGAGGCCCGCAGCUGCGUGGGAGGAGGGGUGGUCUGAGGGACGUGGGAUGCCGGGAAUGAGGCUGGUUUGCAGGUUGGCGCAUGGACAUUUUCCCAGAAAGGGACAGAGACGGCGAAGUUUGACGGUCUGGAAAGCAGAGACCAGCAGGGCUGACUGCUUGGGAGCACCAAAUAUCCGGACAGCGCCUCUCGGGAGGUCCGAGAAGAGAACCGCGAUCUGUUUCAGCACCGGGGCUCAGGACAGUUCCCAGCGGGCUCCGUUUCGUCUCCAGAACCCUGGACAGCUCCUCCAGCCUCCCAAAGUGCUAGGAUUACAGGCGUGAGUCACUGCGCCUGGCCCAAGUCCGGAAUUUUCAACAGGACAUGGGUGUUACUGUGCCCAUGUGACAUUUGGGGAACCCAAGGCCCUGAGAAAGGCAGAAAAAUAACCCACGCAGGGACUCUCAGCCCACAAGUGAAGCUCUUGGAAUGCACUCCCUCCACCUCCAACCAGAGCUCCCCACAACUGACCCUGCCUUCUUCUGCAAGCUCCAUUUCAUCAAGGGAAACGAUCCUUAUUGCCUCACCAUUUCCCACGUGAAGUCUGUAUUGACAUUCUCAUAGACCUGGGAUAUUGUGUCUGCAGCACAUAGUCCAAUUAUUUUCAUGUUAUCUACUGACAGGUCUAUUUGUCUCCCUGUUACACUGUGAGCUCCGUGAGGGCAGAAACAAUGUUAGUAUUUUCACUGCUGUGUCCCCAGCGCCUGGUCCGGGGCCCGGCACACAGCAGGCAUAUAAUAAGCAUGUGUUGAAUCAAUAAAGGCAUCAAAGAAUAAACCAAUACAUCAAUCAA
rnacentral:lncRNA from 1 species